rnacentral:rRNA from 1 species
UACUAAGGGGGCUAGCGUUGCUCGGAAUCACUGGGCGUAAAGGGUGCGUAGGCGGAUUUCUAAGUCAGGGGUGAAAGCCUGAGGCUCAACCUCAGAAUUGCCUUUGAUACUGGAAGUCUUGAGACCGGAAGAGGUAAGUGGAACUGCGAGUGUAGAGGUGAAAUUCGUAGAUAUUCGCAAGAACACCAGUGGCGAAGGCGGCUUACUGGUCCGGUUCUGACGCUGAGGAGCGAAAGCGUGGGGAGCGAACAGG